rnacentral:rRNA from 1 species
AUUGAACGCUGGCGGCAUGCUUUACACAUGCAAGUCGGACGAGUGGCGAACGGGUGAGUAACGCAUCGGAACGUACCGAGUAAUGGGGGAUAACUGUCCGAAAGGACAGCUAAUACCGCAUAUUAUUCGAGCGGCCGAUGUCUGAUUAGCUGGUUGGCGGGGUAAAGGCCCACCAAGGCGACGAUCAGUAGCGGGUCUGAGAGGAUGAUCCGCCACACUGGGACUGAGACACGGCCCAGACUCCUACGGGAGGCAGCAGUGGGGAAUUUUGGACAAUGGGCGCAAGCCUGAUCCAGCCAUGCCGCGUGUCUGAAGAAGGCCUUCGGGUUGUAAAGUUCUUUCGGUGACGAGGCGUUAAUCACAGAAGAAGCACCGGCUAACUCCGUGCCAGCAGCCGCGGUAAUUC